rnacentral:rRNA from 1 species
UACGUAGGCAGCGAGCGUUGUUCGGAGUUACUGGGCGUAAAGGGUGUGUAGGCGGUUGUUUAAGUUUGGUGUGAAAUCUCCCGGCUCAACUGGGAGGGUGCGCCGAAUACUGAGAGGCUAGAGUGCGGGAGAGGAAAGUGGAAUUCCUGGUGUAGCGGUGAAAUGCGUAGAUAUCUGGAGGAACACCGGUGGCGAAGGCGGCAUCCUGGACCGACACUGACGCUGAGGAGCGAAAGCCAGGGGAGCAAACGGG